rnacentral:lncRNA from 1 species
AAAUCCGAUUAUUCAAAUGAAGGUUGUUGUCUUUAGUAGGAAUCAUAAUCCUAACAUUAUGUCGUUCAGACAAGACCCCAGAUGUGAUCAUAUUCUAGUUGUAGUCAGCUCUGUGAGAAUAUAUGUCAUGAAGAAGUCGCCUUUAUGGUUGUACGUGAUCCAAAACAUGACAAUUGCAUUUACAUUAGCUAUUGGGUGAGAACUGGGAAGUAGGCACUACAAUAUGAGGAAUUAUAAGAACAACUUUGUAAAAACUAAUUCGGUAUAUUAUAGGGAGCAGGUGUUAGCAAUGACUAUAUACAGUAUACAAG